AACUAAGUUUGUUCUUGGUAUGAGCUUUCAUGUGUAUGCACACAUCUUCAGAUAUGUAUCUGAAGGAGUGUGCACGCACACAAAAGCUCAUACCAAGAGCAAACUUAGUUGG